AUGCCGCUGGGGACCCCGCUACCGCCGCCGCUGCCGCGGCCCCUGCCGCCGCCCGCGCGGCCGUCGCGACUCAGCUGGCCGGGGCCGCGGUGCCGUCCCCGCACCAUCAUGCCAUCCACCGCCGCGGGCGGAGGGCGCGGGCCGGCGGCGGCGGCGGGGGCGCGGGGCGGGCCCACGGGCCGGGGGACGCAGGAGGCUCUUCCAGGCGCGGGAAGGGGCUGCGGCGUUGGGCCUCCGGCCUCCGGGAGGACGUGCAGGAACCAUGAACCGGGCGCCGCCAACUCACAGCGCGCGCUCCUCGGGGCCGGGCUGCCAGGAAAGUCCCUUCGCCGGGGCCGCCGCCGCCGCCGCCUUCCUGGGCAUGGCCCGGCCCAGCCGCCGGAGCGGGCGGGCGGGAGGGGAAGCUGGGAGUUGUCUUUCCUUCCUUCCUUCCUUUCUUUGAAAUCCAAAUCCCUUCCUCGGGGAGGAGCGCGGGCGCGCGGCGGGCCCCGGGCGGGCUCAGCUGUCAGCCUCCGCGGCUCGGCGGUGCACGUGGGCUCCGGGAGCCGCGACCCCGCGCGGCGGCACGUCCCCGCGACGGUGGCCCGGCCUGGCGCUGGGGGGACGCGCGGCCUCCGCGGCGCAUCUCCCGUCCCCCCGGGUCUCGGGAAGCGGCCCGGCGGCGGCGGGGGCCGAGGGUGUGGCCGGUGUGGCCGAGUCAGUCGGGCGGCAGCUGCACGGAUGAGCACGGAGGCCGCCCGCUCGCGUUCCGUCCGUCCGUCCGCCCGCCACGCCACGCCCGGCGGCCCUUCCCGCCUCGCGACUCACAGCGCGCGGCCCGGCGCCCGGGCGGCACGCCCUCCGGCCCCGCGCCCCGCAGCUGGCGACCGUGGGCGCGAGUCCAUGCCCGGCGCGUCCUCUCCGCGGGCCCUGCGCAUCGGACGGGGCGUCCUCGGCGCGCGCGUGUCCCCGGCGGCGGCGGUGGCCAAACUCACAAGGUCCCCGCGGUGCGGCGGCCACCCGCCCGGGCCCCGGCUUCUGCCAUUUUUUGCCAAACCUCCAACUUCCGAGCGAGCCGGGGAGACGGGAAGGAAGGGCGGGGGCCGCGAGGCGCGGGGGGACGCCGCCUCCUCCCCGCUCGGCACCUCGGAGCGCGCGGUCCUGGGCGCGCCGCCCGCCCGAUCGCCGGCCGCCGGAGGCUCCCCUGGUCCCGGCCCGCCUCGCCCCCGCCGCCGCCUCGGCCGCCGCCUCCCGGGAGCCUAUAGAAAGCUUUUGUGUGGCGUCACCGCCUUUCGUUUAAAUCCCGCUUCCUCCUCUCGCCUGCCCCCGCCCCCUCGCCGCUGCCGGAUGCUUGCGCGAUGCGCUGCUCCUCCCCCGGGAAGCGGGCGGCUGCGGGCGGACGCCACCGCCCAUCUCGGAGGGAGGCCGGCGCCGGGGCCGGGGCCGGCCGGGGGGUCCCGGGCAUUCCCCGCUGUCCCGCGGAGGGAGGCCGGGACGGAGGCCGCGGGGCCGGGGCUCUGCGCUGCGCGCGAUCGGGGGAGUCGGGGCGCCGCCGCCGCCGCCGGUUGGCCUUACGACCCGGUUUCUGCUCUGACUGCAGAGUCCUUGGCUCUGAGCUGGCCCGGUCAGCGUGCGCCACGGCUGGUGCACUUUGCCCUCCCGUGACCUCCGGGCCUCGACCGCAUUAUGGGGUGACGGAGGCCAAGCCCCUUUUCUCCUAGGAAAACUGCUGCUCGGUGCCUGGCAUAACUUCCCCUGGUCCCCCCCCACCCCCCCCCUCAGGCCCUGUGUUCUGGAUGCUUCUGCUGAAAGGUGUGGAGCGUCCGCAAGCCUGUGUGAUGUGGAGCAGACCUUUUGACCUGCGUUGGACGUGAAAUGUGAGUGAAAGGAAGAAAUUGUCAUAGUGUGUGCACAUAUAGAUGUAUGCGUGAAUAUGUACAAUAUCAGCCACCGCUACAGGGAGAGACAUGAAGCUGCAAUGUUCCAGGAGAGCAAAGGUGAGGCCGACAUUGCCCGCUGGUUGCCGUCACCAUCCACUUCCUCUCGCCCCUGGAUAACAGAACCCCAAUUUUAUUUGGGGUGCGGGUGCAUCCAGCACAAAGACGGCUCCCCAGCCCACCUCGAGGGCCAGGCCCCAGCCGCCGGGACGUAAACACAGUGGUGGUGGAAUGUCCGCGCAGGCCGCCUGACGCAAGCUGACUCCACGGGAAGGUAUGUUCCUUUCGGCCUCCCUCCCCCUCCCCCUGCAUGGCUGUCAGCUUGAGGGCUGGAGCGCCGGUGGCCACUGUGGACCUUGAGGUGACCUUGAGGACGGGAGCCACAGGCCAGUGCGACGGAGCAGGACAGAGGGACUGGGAGCCGCAAUAGCAGCCCGAGAGGCUUGGUACCAACUGCUUUUCUAUGAAAGAAAAACCCAGCAAUAACAGCAAAGCCCUCUCUCUCCUCUAAAGCACUUUUGAAACAAUUUAGUUUUCUGUUACGUACAACCUAUUCCGAGCAAGGCGGCUCCUUUGCUAGGGCUGCCGUAACGGAGCACCACAGCCCUGGCCGGCUUGGCUUAGAGCGAUUCUCAACCUUCCGAAUGCCGUGACCCUUUAAUGCAGCUCCUCAUGCUGUGGUGACCCCCAGCCAUGAAAUUAUUUUCGUUGCUACUUCAUCACUGUCAUGUUGCUCCUGUGAUGAAUCGUCAUGUAAAUACCUGAUAUGCAGGAUGGAUUUUCAUUGUUACAAAUUGAACAUAAUUAAAGCAUAGUGAUUAACCACAAAAACAAUAUGUAAUUAUAUAUGUGUUGUCCGAUGGUCUUAGGCGAUGUGACCCCCGUGAAAGGGUCGUUCGACACCCAAAGGGGUUGCGACCCCCAGGUUGAGAACCACUGGCUUAGUGGGUAGAGCGCCGGCCUGUGGACUGAAGGGUCCCAGGUUCGAUUCCCAUCAAGGGUACAUGCCUGGGGUUGCAGGCUCCAUCCCCAGUGUGGGGCGUGGAGGAGGCAGCCAAUCAAUGAUUCUCUCUCACCAUUGAUGUUUCUCUCUCUCCCUCUCCCUCCUUAACUGAAAUCAAUAAAAAUAUAUUGGAAAAAAAAUAAACAAUCCAAUAAAAAUUGGCAAAAGAAUCCAUGAAAA